GUCGCUUUGUGCGUGCGCGUUGAUGUGAUUUUUCGUGUUAUGUGAAAAAAGCAUAAAAUACCAAAUAAAUUUGUAAAAUCUAUACAAAAUUCAAAAGAAAUCAAAACAGAAUAGAAAAAAACAAAUAGGAACAGAAAAAUCGUGACCGUUACUUUUGCGAAAUUGUCGCAAAGGCGACAAAAAAAUUUGUCGUCCAAACCUGCUCAUCAAUAAAACAUUUUAUUGUAACAAAAAAAGGCAAAAAAAGUAUUAAAUAUAAUAAAACCAAACCAAAAUUUUUUACAUAGAAAUAUUUGUAAAAAAAUAAAGGAAGAAAGUUUAGAAUAGUGAAAAACUUGCAAAAUAACUUUGCAAUAGACUUGUGACAAACGAUCAAUAUUAAAUAAAACAUUCAAAUAAACAUAAGCGAAUUAAAAAUAUAAAUAUUCGAAUAAAAAUCAUUUGCUUCAAAACACGUAUACGCGACAAAUUAAAGGACUUUACAUACAUACCUAAAAUUGAAAAGGCACCUUUGUAGCCGUGAAGUGAAAAGGUAUAUUUGGCAGUUGACUGCCGAACAUAGCCUAUUACCGCAGGUCUUCUUAAAGGCUACCUGUCUUAAAAUUUAACUACGAAUUGCACCAAAUAUUAAUCAUAAAAGACGCAGCAACAACAAAGGAAGCGUAAGCAGCAUACCGCAAGGCAUAUCAACAUAAUUAACUCAUUCGUCAAUUGUUUCGAAGAUGGAGCGACGUGGACGCAUACCGGUAGCGCGUUUUCGCACACAGGAGGGCAAAACACGCAGUCGCAGUCGUGUACGUGAUCCCGAUUACAAUGAGCAGGAUCCCGAAACUGAUCUUUUCACUUUGCUGGAAGACAAUAUUGCGCUGAAGGAGGAGAAUAAAGCGCUGAAGAUCGAAAUUGAAGAUGGCAAGAAGGCGCAAAAUGAGCUGGAGUCGGAGAAAACUAAAAUUCUCGAUGACUUGUCUGCUUUGAAGAAACAACAACUCGACAAUGAAACACAAUUAAAAGACUUAACCACUAAGUUGAAUAAAAUGAGCACUGAACGCAACGCUUUGGAUAAGUUGCAUAAGAUGAAAAUCGAAAAGAUUAGCGGCUUGGAGCAGGAGUUGCAAGUAUUGCAGGAGAAGCAAAAACUGUUAGCUGCAACACCACCAACCACACCGCGUACGACGGUUUUGCAUGCCACACCCUUAGCUUCAGCCAGCUUGAGCAGCAAAUUGCUGAAAAUAAUACCGACUUUGGGCAGCAAUGAAAUGGAGAGCAUCGUAGAUGUGGAACCCACGGCCGCCUUGCCCAUUACAAGCGAACUAGUCGAGCGUUUGGUCGACGAAUUUCAAACAUUGAAGAACUCAAUGAAUGCAGUGGAGCUGCAGCUCUAUGAAGCCAAUGAGAAAAUAGCUGAGUUGCUGGAAAAUCAACACCAUUUGGAGGAGGAGAACGAAACCAUGCGCACGGAGAACACGAAUCUGACCAAAGUUGCCAAACUGCUGACGGACAACAUGAAAGAGAGCGUUGAAACAAGCAAAAAAAUGGAAGCAGCGCUCAUCAAAUUAAAGCAACGCAACGAUGAACUGAAUGCGCGCACACGCGAUCUAACCGAUGGCCAGCCAGCGCCAAGUCCUUCACCCACAACAGAAAAGGUGAAUGAGGAAAUCGAACAAAUCAAAGAGGAAGUCGAAAAUCAAAAUCGCGACCAUAAUGAACGCAUUGUCGAAAUGAAAUCUCUUAUGGAAGCGGCUAUACAAAAAAAUACUAACGAUGAACUAAACACUUUCAAAGUAAGAGUGGAAAUUCUGGAAGAGGAAUUGCGCAAGGCGAUUGCACGUGCCGAGCAUGCCGAGAUUGAAUUACAGAAAUACAAAAAUAACUCUAACACAUCGACAAACUGCUUAACAACAUCCGCACAGACUGAACCAUUAAUAAUAACAACAACGACAGCGCCACCACCACCGCCGCCGCCGCCACUACCGCCACCACUACCAACUAAACUAAUUUAUAAGCAAGCGGACGUUGGUCCCAGCGGCGGGGCAGUAGGAGCAGCGACAUUCAGCGAUAGCAUCGUCGCACACACUUUGCAAAAGGAGAAAAUUAUCGGUACGGUUAAGCAACAUGUGCUAGGCGCAGCAACAGACAUGCCAGGAGCACAGCAGACGCUUAUGUUAAGAGCCUUAAACGCAUGCAACGUGCUCUGUGCGUGCCACAGACGAGUGUGGAAGGAGACACAUAUGUGUGCUGGCUGCCGUUCAACAAGUCGUAUACGUAACAUAUUUGCUGUUGGCGUGAGAGCUUUACCAACGUUUUACACCAGUUGCUGCUUAUUUCCUCUGUUUCGCAGCAUAAAGUAGCGAAUACUACUGCUACAUUGUUGUUGUUAUUAUUUUUUCCUUCUUUUUUAUAUUUUCGCUGUGUUCUUAUUCAGUCGCAGCCGAGAGUUUUGCAUGCACGUCCUUCGCUAGUUAUCUUUACUUGAGCUGUAUUUUCAUUUCGUCAUUAAAUUAGUUGUAUGUACCAUAUUAAAUAUU
rnacentral:misc_RNA from 1 species